rnacentral:rRNA from 1 species
UACGAAGGGUGCAAGCGUUACUCGGAAUUACUGGGCGUAAAGGGUGCGUAGGUGGUUGUUUAAGUCUGUUGUGAAAGCCCCGGGCUCAACCUGGGAAUGGCAAUGGAUACUGGACAGCUAGAGUGCGGUAGAGGGUAGUGGGAAUUCCCCGGUGUAGCAGUGAAAUGCGUAGAGAUCGGGAGGAACACCAGUGGCGAAGGGCGGCUACCUGGACCAGCACUGACACUGAAGCACGAAAGCGUGGGGAGCAAACAGGG